rnacentral:rRNA from 1 species
UACGGAGGGUGCGAGCGUUGUCCGGAAUCACUGGGCGUAAAGGGCGCGUAGGCGGCUGGGGAAGUCGGCGGUGAAAGCCCGGAGCUCAACUCCGGGUCGGCCGUCGAGACUCCUCGGCUCGAGCUCACUAGAGGCAGAUGGAAUUCCGGGUGUAACGGUGGAAUGCGUAGAGAUCCGGAAGAACACCGGUGGCGAAGGCGGUCUGCUGGGGUGAGGCUGACGCUGAUGCGCGACAGCGUGGGGAGCAAACAGG